CUAUAUUCUCCGUCUUAAGAGUCAUCAAUAUAAACUUUUAGUCAAUAUUCUCUUUGCAUUUUUUCUAUCUUGUUCUUUGUGCUCAUCUGGAUCGAGUGUGUGCGUUGUUAAGCGAUCCUAACAACUGGUAUCAGAGCUAGGCAAAAUUCACCAUGAUCU